AGCGAACGCUGGCGGCAGGCUUAACACGUGCAAGUCGAGCGGGCCCUUCGGGGUCAGCGGCAGACGGGUGAGUAACGCGUGGGAACGUGCCCUUCGGUUCGGAAUAACUCAGGGAAACUUGAGCUAAUACCGUAUACGCCCUUAUGGGGAAAGGCUUGCUGCCGAAGGAUCGGCCCGCGUCUGAUUAGCUAGUUGGUGAGGUUAUGGCUCACCAAGGCGACGAUCAGUAGCUGGUCUGAGAGGAUGAUCAGCCACACUGGGACUGAGACACGGCCCAGACUCCUACGGGAGGCAGCAGUGGGGAAUAUUGGAAAAUGGGGGCAACCCUGAUCCAGCCAUGCCGCGUGAGUGAUGACGGCCUUAGGGUUGUAAAGCUCUUUUCUCCGGGACGAUAAUGACGGUACCGGAGGAAUAAGCCCCGGCUAACUUCGUG
rnacentral:rRNA from 1 species